GUUUAAAGUCUUGUUAAUAAAUAUAAAUUGAAAUGUUUAUAAAUGAAAAAUAAUUUUUAAUUAUGAUUAAGUAAUGUUUAAUGAAAGAAUAUUUAUAACUAUAAAGUAUAAGUACUGUAAAGGAAAGAUUUUUUUUAAAAAAAAAUAAAGUAUAAAUAAAAUUUAGUACCUUGUGUAUCAGGGGUAAUUUAUAUAAUUAAAAUAAUAUUUAAAAUCUCGAAAUAAAAAUAGCUAAUUUUAUAAUAGAGUUUUUAUAGGAGAUAAAUUUUUAAUAUAGAAUUAAAGAUGAAAUAUUAAACGAGUUUUAUAAUAUCUAGUUUUUUGAGAAGAGAAUUUAAUUUGGUUUUUAUAUAGUUUGUAGUAUAAAAAAAUAAAAUAGAAAGGGUAAGCUUUUUAUUACAGAAGAUGGAAUAGUAAAAUAAUAAAAAUAUAAGGAACUAAGCUUAAAAGUAGCUAUGUUUAUAAAGUGUUUUAAUUAACUUUUUAAAAAGAAAAAUUAUUACUUUUUGUUAGUAUUAAAAAUUUAUUUUAAAUAAAAAAUAAUAAGGUAAAAUGAUUUUAUUAGUAUAAAGAUAAUUGUAAAAAUAUAAGGGUAGAAUAUUUUUAAAUUAUUUAUAAGAAAAAUGAGUUAAAGNAAUUCGGCAAAAUAUUUUUCUUGCCUGUUUAUCAAAAACAUNUCUAUUUGAAGAUAUAAAAAGUCUGACCUGCCCACUGAUUAAAUAUAAUAAAUUUAAGGGCCGCGGUAUUAUGACCGUGCAAAGGUAGCAUAAUCAUUAGGUUUUUAAAUGAGAUCUUGUAUGAAUGGUUUGACAAAGGAAAAGCUGUCUUUAAAUUAGUGUUUGAACUUAACUUUUAAGUGAGAAGGCUUAAAUAUUUUAGUAGGACGAUAAGACCCUAUAAAGCUUUAUAUUGUAGUUAUAUUUAAUUAAAUUUUUUAUAUAAAAAUUUUAUAUAAUUAUUUAUUUUGUUGGGGAGACAUAAGUAAAAAUUUUAUUAACUGCUAAAAAAAAAAUCAUAUAUUAAUGAAGAAAUUAAAGAUCCUAGAUAUAGAUUAAAAGAGUAAGUUACUUUAGGGAUAACAGUGUUAUUUUUUUUGAGAGUUCUUAUCGAAAAAAAAGUUUGCAACCUCGAUGUUGAAUUAAAUUGUCUAUAUAAUGCAGUUGUUAUAUGAGAUGGUCUGUUCGACCU
rnacentral:rRNA from 1 species